GAUGAACGCUGGCGGCGUGCCUAAUACAUGCAAGUCGAGCGAACGGACGAGGAGCUUGCUUUUCUGAUGUUAGCGGCGGACGGGUGAGUAACACGUGGAUAACCUACCUAUAAGACUGGGAUAACUUCGGGAAACCGGAGCUAAUACCGGAUAAUAUUUUGAACCGCAUGGUUCAAUAGUGAAAGACGGUCUUGCUGUCACUUAUAGAUGGAUCCGCGCUGCAUUAGCUAGUUGGUAAGGUAACGGCUUACCAAGGCAACGAUGCGUAGCCGACCUGAGAGGGUGAUCGGCCACACUGGAACUGAGACACGGUCCAGACUCCUACGGGAGGCAGCAGUAGGGAAUCUUCCGCAAUGGGCGAAAGCCUGACGGAGCAACGCCGCGUGAGUGAUGAAGGUCUUCGGAUCGUAAAACUCUGUUAUUAGGGAAGAACAUAUGUGUAAGUAACUGUGCACAUCUUGACGGUACCUAAUCAGAAAGCCACGGCUAACUACGUG
rnacentral:rRNA from 1 species